GCAAACAAGAUAAUAAUUGUGCAUGUCUGGCUCUGAAUCUAGAGGGCAAGGCUUGCGUCACCGGCACUCUGAGUUACCAUGGGAUACCUGGUGCAGCUUCAUGUUGGUGGGGGAAUCAAACAAGAGGAAAUCACAGAUAGAUUGUGGAGCAUGUUGGCUACUUGCAGUUGGUGAUAGUGUUUUGCUGCUGAAGAAGAAUCCAGACCAAUUCGCCAGCCUAGUAAUCCAUUGCUCAGCUUCAUUAACCGCAGAAAGACAUUAAGUGACUGUAAGGACCCUGGAACAGCCUCGAAACCAGGUGAUGAGCAGCCUUUAAGUUCUGGGCUCAGGUAUAUUUUAUGCCACCUCAACUGUGCAUCAAACUCUCCUCCCUGGACUCAUUAAAACUGUGUGCCCACAGGAGCCCCUCGACUUU